UACGGGGGGGGGCAAGCGUUGUUCGGAAUUACUGGGCGUAAAGGGCUCGUAGGCGGCCAACUAAGUCAGACGUGAAAUCCCUCGGCUUAACCGGGGAACUGCAUCUGAUACUGGAUGGCUUGAGUUCGGGAGAGGGAUGCGGAAUUCCAGGUGUAACGGUGAAAUGCGUAGAUAUCUGAAGGAACAUCAGUGGCGAAAGCGACUUCCUGGACCAGAACUGACGAUCAGGCACGAAAGCGUGGGGGAGCAAACAGG
rnacentral:rRNA from 1 species